AGAGUUUGAUCAUGGCUCAGGACGAACGCUGGCGGCGCGCUUAACACAUGCAAGUCGAGCGAGAACCAGGACUUCGGUCCUGGGGAAAGCGGCGAACGGGUGAGUAACACGUGAGUAAUCUGCCCUCAGCACCGGAAUAGCCCGGGGAAACUCGGAUUAAUGCCGGAUAGCCCGCCCUCCCCUCGGGGAGAUCGGAAAAGGUAGCUUUGGCCUCUGACUGAGGAUGAGCUCGCGGCGGAUUAGCUUGUUGGCGGGGUAAUGGCCCACCAAGGCGACGAUCCGUAGCUGGUCUGAGAGGACGAUCAGCCACACUGGGACUGAGACACGGCCCAGACUCCUACGGGAGGCAGCAGUGGGGAAUCUUGCGCAAUGGGCGAAAGCCUGACGCAGCGACGCCGCGUGCGGGAGGAAGGCCUUAGGGUUGUAAACCGCUUUCAGGAGGGACGAAGCCACUCGGGUUAAUAGCCCAGAGGGUGACGGUACCUCCAGAAGAAGCCCCGGCUAACUACGUGCCAGCAGCCGCGGUAAUACGUAGGGGGCAAGCGUUGUCCGGAUUUAUUGGGCGUAAAGCGCGUGUAGGUGGCCAAGUAGGUCCGCUGUGAAAACUUGAGGCUCAACCUCAAGCUGUCGGUGGAAACCCCUUGGCUAGAGUCCGGAAGAGGAGAGUGGAAUUCCUGGUGUAGCGGUGAAAUGCGCAGAUAUCAGGAAGAACACCAAUGGCGAAGGCAGCUCUCUGGGACGGUACUGACACUGAGACGCGAAAGCGUGGGGAGCGAACAGGAUUAGAUACCCUAGUAGUCC
rnacentral:rRNA from 1 species